CAGCAGCCACGGGAAUACGAAGGGGGCUAGCGUUGUUCGGAAUUACUGGGCGUAAAGCGCACGUAGGCGGAUAUUUAAGUCAGGGGUGAAAUCCCAGAGCUCAACUCUGGAACUGCCUUUGAUACUGGGUAUCUUGAGUAUGGAAGAGGUUAGUGGAAUUGCGAGUGUAGAGGUGAAAUUCGUAGAUAUUCGCAGGAACACCAGUGGCGAAGGCGGCUAACUGGUCCAUAACUGACGCUGAGGUGCGAAAGCGUGGGGAGCAAACAGGAUUAGAUACCCGCGUAGUCCCUGUCUCUUAUAA
rnacentral:rRNA from 1 species